rnacentral:rRNA from 1 species
CGGUGCGGACGGGGCAUUCAGGUAAAAUGUCUCAUCUGAUCUCUGAAGCUAAGCAGAGCUGGCUCUGGUUAGGACUUGGAUGGGAGACUGCUGGAAAUAUUAGAUGCCACAGUGG